GCAAGGUCUUUUGUAGAUGCUGAUCUUACCAAACAGUUUCUUCAGAAUAUUAGAGUGAUUUACUGAAAUAAUUCGGCGCUGCUAAGAUCGAAACGACUACCUGCUUUAGCGCGGUUUAACACUGAACACGAGCAAAAUCUUUUCAGAUGUUAGCUUCUCAAGCAACCGCAUGUGACACUGUUACGAGGUGCAGAGGCCACAUUGCACAGGGCAUGGCUGUUAAUCUUUUCUGUUUACGACUGGAUUAAUCGCGGUCUAAUAAACAUUUGCCUGAUGCAUAUGCGAACGAUUGUAACUCCGGUGGCGAGGCUUACGACCCUCGUGCAUGCGGACAAGGAUGGUUCGGGUAAA